AUGACAUAUGGACUUCGUCGGCAUGGGAGAACAUCAGAUGUGUGUUUCCUGACAAUGAAAAAAGGAAGCAGGAUUAUAGUAACCACUAGGAACGGGGAUGUCGCUAAUACAUGUUGUUGUCAUUCCCAAGAUCGGAUUUACAAAAUCCAACGCCUAUCUGAGAUUGCAUCACGCGAGCUAUUCUUCAAGAGGAUCUUUGGCUUAGUAGAUGGAUUGCCCAACAAUGAGUUGGAGGAAGUUUCAAAUGCCAUACUCAAGAAAUGUGGAGGCUUACCAUUAGCAAUAGUCAGCAUUGGUAGCCUUCUCGCUAGCAAACCAAACAGAACCAAACAAGAGUGGCAGAAGGUUUCUGAUAACUUGGGCUCUGAACUUGAAUUAAAUCCUACACUUGAAGGGACAAAGCAAGUCUUAUCUUUGAGUUACAAUGAUCUGCCAUACCAUCUGAAGGCUUGCUUCUUGUAUCUAAGUAUAUUUCUUCAAAAUUAUGUGAUCAAGAGGGGACCUUUGCUGAGAAUGUGGAUAGCCGAAGGAUUUAUCACCCCAAAACAUGGACUUAGUAUGGAGGAGGUUGCUGAAAGAUACUUUGACGAGUUCGUAGCCAGAAGCAUGGUGCAUCCUGUGAAAAUUGAUUGGAGUGGCAAGGUGAGAAGUUGUCGAGUUCAUGAUAUAAUGGUUGAGGUCAUCAUGUCCAAGUCACUUGAGGAGAACUUCGCAUCAUACUUCUGUGAAAAUGGAACCACACUGGAUUCCCAUGACAAAAUACGCCGCCUCUCAUUCCAGAGCAGCAGGCACUCAGUGCAGAGAACAAACGCUAGUGUAGCUCAUGUUCGCACGUUUAGAAUGUCACCUUCCAUGGAGGAAAUCCCAUUCUUCUUCGCACAUUUGAGGUUGUUAAGAGUGUUGGAUAUGCAAGGCAGCAGCUGCUUGAGUAACAAGGAUCUAGACUGCAUCUGUUGUUUUUUCCAGCUGAAUUAUCUAAGCCUCAGAAAUACCAAUAUUUCCAAAUUGCCGAGAUUCAUAGGCCAUCUAAAUUACUUGGAGACACUAGAUAUCAGAGAAACACUUAUUAAGAAGCUACCAGGUAGUGCCAAGAGCCUGGCACAUCUGAAGCAUUUGCUAGUUGGGCAUAAGACACAUCUUACUAGGACAGGUAGUGUGAAGUUCUUCAAAGGAUUCUGUGGCCUAGAAAUGACACCUGGGGUUCUCAUGAACAUGACAUCCCUUCAAUCAUUAUGCCAUAUAGAGAUAAAAAGGGACCCAUCCGUGUUCCAGGAGAUAAGCAAGUUAAGAAAUCUAAAGAAGUUGAACAUUCUCUUCCAUGAGGUAGAGGUGAACUGGAAACCUUGUGUGGAAUCAUUAAGCAAUUUGUCGGGCUCUGUGCGCUCGCUUUCCAUCAAAAUAUUUGAUGGAGAUGGAAGCAUCUCAUCGGAGGAAAUGUUAUCUUCGGUGGAGUCACCUCCUCUCUUGGUCACCAGCUUUGGCCUGACGGGCAAGCUGGAGCGCUUACCUCGAUGGGUGGCAUCACUUAGAAACGUCUCGACGUUUACUCUUCGCAAGAACGGGCUGCGGGCCGACGCCAUAGAUGUCCUUGGAGACUUGCCAAGUCUGCUCUGCCUCAAGCUGUAUCACAAAUCAUAUGCCGAUGACUGCCUCAUAUUCCCACGCGGUAAAUUUUUGAAAGUCAAGCUGUUGGUUAUUGACAACCUAGAGAACAUUGACAAGGUGUGCUUCGAGGAUGGUUCGGUGCCAUGUCUUGAGAGGCUUACGUUGUCAUUCCUGAGGGAGCCCAAGUAUGGGAUCUCUGGUCUUGAUAAUCUUCUGAAGCUGAGGGAGAUAGAGUUCUUUGGUAACAUCAUACUAUCCCUGGUGACUAAAGUGACAUCGUCCGUGAAGACACAUCCAAAUCAUCCAAGAGUAAUAGGUGACAAAUGGAAUAUUGUGACUGAGUAUUCUUAG
rnacentral:rRNA from 1 species